UCAGGAUAGAUAGUCUCCGAGGGACUAUAUCUUUUUAUGUUUUCCCACUGAUGACUCAGUCCUCCACUCUCUGCAUAAUCUUUCAACGAUGAAGAAUGAGGGCAAAUAUCAGAGAGAAGACAUCUGGGGGAUGACAUCCUGAUAUAAACCUGCACAGAUCUUGAAUGCAUUGUGAACCAUUAAGAUAGACACCAAGUAGCAGAGAAAAGGUUGGAAAGCAAAGCCCUCCUGGACAUAUCACCUGCAGGUGAUUUAUAGGACUAAAAGCUUCAAUCAAGCUCUGUUGAUCAUUUGCCAAAAAGAAGAACAGAAGUUCUACAGAGAUCUUUAAUAAGGCCUUGUAUGUUUUUGACAUAAUUGAAGGUUUUAUAUGUAUACCAUAAUCAAAUUUGGUUUCAUGUGCAAAGCACCAGAAAAACAUGUCAUAUUCUUACGUGAAAAGACUGUUAUUAGAUGCUACCUAUGAGGUGACCCAGAUAUUGGACUGGCAAACUAAACAAUAACUGUAUUCAGCUAUCACAACUGUACGCUGUGACUUAACUGUAAACACCAAAGAAACAAGUGGAGGAUUUCAGAAAAAAAAAGAGAAAUCAUAAAAAUAACAAGAUGAAAAUUCUGGGGUUAAAAACAUUACAUCUGUGUAAUGUGCCUGCGACAUGCACUGCUUUAUAUACAUGAAAACGCUAUCCACUGCACAAAGUAAUGGAUGCAGGAAAAUAUUUGAAGAAACGGUCACUUAACACCUCUGAAAUUUAGUAGAGGUCAUAUUUAUAGACUUAAAUACCUGUGAGACUGGCCCCCUUCAAGAAAAGUGAAAAAGUGAAAAUCUUACAUAAGCAUCGUGCCAAAACUGAAUAUAACCAAAGCUAAAACAAAACAAAACAAAACACCUCACCAAAAAUAACAACAAAAACAAAACAAUCUUAAAAGCAGCUGGAGAAAAUAGAGAUGUUCAGUAGAGGAUUAAAAGAGUUGUUUUCUACUCCUCACCAGAGCAAUCUAGGUCAUAAGACAGGAGAACAAUAGAUUUAAAGAGCUGAAAGAAAAGCCAACUGUGACUACUGUGGACAUUGAAAAUCACCUUCGCGACAGAAGAUGAAAUAGAAAUGUUCAUAGAUGAGGAAGAACUCACAAUCUGUCACCAGUAAAUCUGUUCCGAAGGAAAUGUAAGUCAACGACGAAGUCCCACAGCCAGUGGAAAAUGAGUCUGACCAUAAACAGUAGCUUAGCAAUGAAGAAACAGUAAAAAUAUUAAAUGUCAGAGUUAACUCAAAAGACAUUUGUUCCUUCCCUGCAUUCUCUAAACAUAAAUAAAUAGUUAAUGUUU